UACGUAGGGUGCGAGCGUUGUCCGGAAUUACUGGGCGUAAAGAGCUCGUAGGUGGUUUGUCGCGUUGUUCGUGAAAACUCACAACUCAAUUGUGGGCGUGCGGGCGAUACGGGCAGACUGGAGUACUGCAGGGGGAGACUGGAAUUCCUGGUGUAGCGGUGGAAUGCGCAGAUAUCAGGAGGAACACCGGUGGCGAAGGCGGCUCUCUGGGACGGUACUGACGCUGAGACGCGAAAGCGUGGGGAGCGAACAGG
rnacentral:rRNA from 1 species